AAUAAAGGGCAAUUGUCUUGUAAUUGGAAUGAUGGUGACGUAAAAUCUCACCAGAGUAACAAUUGGAGGGCAAGUGUGGUGCCAGCAGCCGCGGUAAUUCCAGCUCCAAUAGCGUAUAUUAAACUUGUUGCAGUUAAAAAGCUCGUAGUUGAAUUUCUGCGUUGCCCGACUCGGCUACUUGCCUUGUCUGGUUUCGCUUUUGGGGUUUUCCCCUUUUUACUUUGAGAAAAUUAGAGUGUUUCAUGCAGACUUGUGUCUUGAAUACUUCAGCAUGGAAUAAUAAAGUAGGACUUUGGUUCUAUUUUGUUGGUUUGUGAACCUUAGUAAUGGUUAAUAGGAACGGUUGGGGGCAUUCGUAUUUAACUGUCAGAGGUGAAAUUCUUAGAUUUGUUAAAGACGAACUACUGCGAA
rnacentral:rRNA from 1 species